rnacentral:rRNA from 1 species
GAAUAUUGGACAAUGGGGGGAACCCUGAUCCAGCCAUGCCGCGUGUGUGAAGAAGGCCUUUUGGUUGUAAAGCACUUUAAGCGAGGAGGAGGCUACUCUAGUUAAUACCUAGAGAUAGUGGACGUUACUCGCAGAAUCAGCACCGGCUAACUCUGUGCCCGCAGCCGCGGUAAUACAGAGGGUGCAAGCGUUAAUCGGAUUUACUGGGCGUAAAGGGCGGGUAGGUGGCCAAUUAAGUCAAAUGGGAAAUCCCCGGGCUUAACUGGGAAUUGCAUUCGAUACUGGUUGGCUAGAGUAUGGGGGAGGAUGGUAGAAUUCCAGGUGUAGCGGUGAAAUGCGUAGAGAUCUGGAGGAAUACCGAUGGCGAAGGCAGCCGUCUGGCCUAAUACUGACACUGAGGUGCGAAAGCAUGGGGAGCAAACAG